UAAUACCGGCGGCUCGAGUGGUGGCCACUAUUACUGGGCUUAAAGCGUUCGUAGCUGGGUUGUUAAGUCUCUUGGGAAAUCUACCGGCUUAACCGAUAGGCGUCCAAGGGAUACUGGCAAUCUAGGGACCGGGAGAGGUGAGGGGUACUUCAGGGGUAGGAGUGAAAUCCUGUAAUCCUUGGGGGACCACCUGUGGCGUAGGCGCCUCACCAGAACGGCUCCGACAGUGAGGGACGAAAGCUGGGGGAGCAAACCGG
rnacentral:rRNA from 1 species